GUUUGAAAUAUCGUUUGAAAUAGUGAAAGCGCUUGGGAGAGGGAUGCUACGCACAGUUUCUCUCCUUGCCCUGGCCCCAGUCGAAGUCGAAUAGCAGGAAAAAGCAAUCGGGCCGACAAUUAUGCCCGAGAUUUAACAUUCCAAAGCUCAAGUCUCUAGGAGAAAUCCCAAACUGAAAAGGGUCGGCUCAAAUGGAAGCGACCGACUUACGUGCAACUCCGAGGGAAAGGAACUAGAAACAGAAAUAAAUACGUGAGUUGAUGGAAA